GAAUUGCCGCCCUUAAUCAUUCUUAACCGUUCGGGCUUAUUAAUGGAGGCGCCUGUGCUUCUCCCGACCCGGUGCCACCAUGCGAUUCCUGUUCAUGCUGACUGCCUGUGUAUGUCUGAUUGCCGCGACCGAGACCCGCGCCGACAGCCGCGUUUUCAUCGUCGCCAAUCCUACGGCGUCGAUGAAUGUCUCGCCAAGGGUGAAAAAUGCGGGGCACCGGCCGCCCGCGCCUACUGCCAGUCACGGGACUUUGCACAGGCCACCGGU
rnacentral:misc_RNA from 1 species